rnacentral:rRNA from 1 species
UAGUCCACGCGGUAAACGAUGAAUGCUAGGUGUAGCGGGUAUCGACCCCUGCUGUGCCGCAGUAAACACAAUAAGCAUUCCGCCUGGGGAGUACGGCCGCAAGGUUGAAACUCAAAGGAAUUGACGGGGGCCCGCACAAGCAGCGGAGCAUGUUGGUUAAUUCGAUGCAACGCGAAGAACCUCACCAGGUCUUGACAUUGAUCUAAACUGUAAGAGAUUACAGGUGUCUUCGGACAAGAGGAAAC